CCUACGGGUGGCAGCAGUGAGGAAUAUUGGUCAAUGGACGAGAGUCUGAACCAGCCAAGUAGCGUGAAGGAUGACUGCCCUAUGGGUUGUAAACUUCUUUUAUAUGGGAAUAAAACGUUUCACGUGUGGGAUUUUGUAUGUACCAUAUGAAUAAGGAUCGGCUAACUCCGUGCCAGCAGCCGCGGUAAUACGGAGGAUCCGAGCGUUAUCCGGAUUUAUUGGGUUUAAAGGGAGCGUAGGGGGAUUGUUAAGUCAGUUGUGAAAGUUUGCGGCACAACCGUAAAAUUGCAGUUGAAACUGGCAGUCUUGAGUACAGUAGAGGUGGGCGGAAUUCGUGGUGUAGCGGUGAAAUGCUUAGAUAUCACGAAGAACUCCGAUUGCGAAGGCAGUUCACUGGACUGCAACUGACACUGAGGCUCGAAAGUGUGGGUAUCAAACAGGAUUAGAUACCCUUGUAGUC
rnacentral:rRNA from 1 species